rnacentral:rRNA from 1 species
GUACGAGCGCAACCCUUGUCCUUAGUUACCAGCACGUUAUGGUGGGCACUCAAGGAGACUGCCGGUGACAAACCGGAGGAAGGUGGGGAGUGACGUCAAGUCAUCAUGGCCCUUACGGCCUGGGCUACACACGUGCUACAAUGGUCGGUACAAAGGGUUGCCAAGCCGCGAGGUGGAGCUAAUCCCAUAAAACCGAUCGUAGUCCGGAUCGCAGUCUGCAACUCGACUGCGUGAAGUCGGAAUCGCUAGUAAUCGUGAAUCAGAAUGUCACGGUGAAUACGUUCCCGGGCCUU